rnacentral:rRNA from 1 species
AUGGCGGACCUGGUGUUCUGGAAAAACCUCCCAUAUGAUAUCACGAGGAAGAUCAGUGAAUCCUUCCUCGCAACGGACGAUAUCGACCACUAUGUCGCCUUCCGGGCUGUCUGCGGCAACUGGCGCAGAGCCACAGACUCCACCGCGGAUGCCACAGAUCCCAGAUUCAUGCCCAGCAAGUGGAUCAUGCUGGAGCACUCCAUCCACGACAAUGACCGGGUGACCUUCUUCAAUCUUAGCACAGGCCGCCGCCUCCGCAAGAAAAUCCCCACGGAGGUCCGCAACCGAAGGUACUUUUUCGUCGGCGUCACGAAAGGCGGACUCUUCGUGCUAGGGCAGAGAGCGCAGCCAUACCAAACUCGGGUGCUCAACCCUUUCACGGGCGCCAUGGCACGCUUCAAGGUGCAUAUACCCAUGGAACAGGUGAGCUCUGUCGUCGUGACAACGUCUCCAAUGAUGGUGUUCAUCUCAAACCUGCUAAACGAUUGUGUGAGCUGGGCUGAUCAGACAAGCGAGGAAUGGCACACCGCUUUUGGUUUUGGAGAAGGGGAGUGCAGGACUGGGGAUUGGGGCUUUGGCGAUGGUCACAAGAACUUGACAUCCUUUGCGGGCAGCAUGUACAUCACAAAUAAGUAUGGAUCCAUCAUAUCAACAAUCACUGACGUGUACAAGGAAGGUAACCAAUGGAAACGCUCCGCGGGGACAAUCUCCAUGUUCACCACCAUUGUCGGCCCAAAUUUUGAGCUAGCCCAUGGGAGCAAUAACUUCUAUCUCGUUGAAUCUGAGGGGGAGCUUCUUCUGGUGAUGGAUGGGCGCAUUUGUAAUGGCAUGCCGGUGGUCUACAAGGUGGACACCGUGAACAAGGUGCUCGUGCCGGUCAGAAGCAUAGGUAGCCGCGCGCUGUUUGUCAGCUCGCGCAGGUGCCUCUCCAUCGACACCACGAAGUCCAACAAGUUCCACUCCAUCGAAUCUGGCACAAUCUACUACGCGGAUCGCUCCGUGGUUAGAGCUUAUGAUCAAGGGAGUCUCGCUGGCAGUGGAUGGGAAGAGGAGCCCAAGUAUGUAUUUGAAUCUGCAACAAAUCCUUUCUCUAAAAUGGCUGAGCUGUUGGUGAAUUACUGCACUACUAUCGAGUACUCCGAACUGCAGAUGCUGCCGCCUUACGGUGAGGAGGGCUACACUUACUAUGAGUAUGGCGACCCAUCAGACUAA